AAAGACUUAGUUUAAAUAAAACAUAAAAUUGUCAAUUUUAAAAAACUAAAUUAGUAGUCUUUU
rnacentral:tRNA from 1 species